AUGGACCUUGGGCGCCUGAAGUAUGGGAUCAUUACCCUCAUCCCAAAGGUUCCCGGGGCCUCGGACAUCCGCUAGUUCCGCCCGAUCACCGUGAUUAACGUGAUCUUAAGGAUCCUGGCCAAAGGGUACGCCAAUAGGGUGACCCUUCUUGCAGACUCUGUCACCCACCCCAACCAAUCCGCCUUCAUCCAAGGCCGAUUUAUUUUGGAUGGGGUGUUGGUCUUUCACGAAGUCCUCCAUGAAGUCCGAUCCAAGCAUCACCGCGUUGUGUUCCUUAAGCUCGACUUUCAUAAGGCCUACGACACAGUCCAUUGGCCCUUCCUUCGGGAAGUAUUGGUUUGGAAGGGCUUCGACGACCGCUGGGUGACCCGCGUUAUGCAACUUGUCACCUGUGGGCGGACGGCGAUCAACAUUAACGACGAGAUCGGUCCCUACUUCCCCACCUUAUGUGGGGUGCGCCAGGGUGACCCGUUCUCCCUGUUCCUUUUCAACAUGGUUGUCGAUGCCCUUGCGGUCAUCCUUGAUAAGGCCAAAGCCUGCGGCCAUAUCCGGGGCGUUGUCCCCCACCUAGUGGACGGAGGAGGGGUUUCCCUCCUCCAAUACGCGGACGACACCAUAGUCAUGGUGGAGGGCUCCGCGGCUGACAUCGCCAACCUGAAGUUCCUCCUCAUGUGCUUCCAACAGAUGUCGGUGUUGGGGAACGUAGCAGAAAUUCAAAAUUUUCCUACGAGUCACCAAGAUCUAUCUAUGGAGAGACUAGCAACGAGGGGAAGGAGAGUGCAUCUACAUACCCUUGUAGAUCGCUAA
rnacentral:rRNA from 1 species